UCACUAUCUUAGGCCUGCUUGGUUACCUCCACUUUGUGAAGAUUGAUCAGGAGACUCUAUUAAUCAUCGACUCACUUGGCAUCCAGAUGACUUCGUCCUAUGCAUCGGGCAAAGAAAGUACCACCUUCAUAGAGAUGAACAAGGUCAAGGAUAUUAUCAUUAAUGAGGCUAUUUACAUGGGCACGAGGACUUACUGUGUUGCCCAGGUCCAACCUAGUCUCAAGCAGCCACCUGCCUUGGUCCUAUGAACUUCUGGUUCAAAGGAACGUUUUUUGUUUUUGUUUUUGUUUUUGUUUUUGUUUUUUGGAGGGGGGGUGAUCUAUUAAAGGACAAAAUGGAGCAGAAGGUCAUUUACUACCUCUGCAUUUUACUGAAGGAUCCAGGGAAACCACAUGAGAU
rnacentral:lncRNA from 1 species